AUGCAUGCAAGUUGCCAUAUAUAUCAUCGCCAACCAUAAUAAGAAGCAAAAUCACACUGUACAUUUCACUGCAGAAAAAAGAAAAACAGAGAAAAUAUAUAUGGCUAUUAAGAACUAUGCACGCAGCGUUCACAGCGACGGCAAGCUUGACAUGACUUUGGAAGAGUUCAAGAAGUGGUUUAGGAGAUUUGACGCCGACAGAGACGGCAGAAUAAGCAGAGAAGAGCUCCGGGAAGCCAUCCGUGCCGCCGGCGUGCGCUUCUCCUGGCUCAAAGGCCGGAAGGGGAUGAAGGCGGUUGACGGUAACGGUAACGGCUUCAUUGACGACUGUGAGAUUGACAAGUUGGUGGAGUUUGCGCAGAUGAACUUGAAUAUCCGGAUUGUCACGUAUUAAUACUUGCUCUUUUUUAUGACUGAAAAAAAUUUCAGUCACUUUUCAAAAAUAUGUAUUAGGUAACCUUUAUGUAAGAUUUUCUUGUAUAAUAUAUAAUUGUUAAGGUCAUAAUUAUAUAUAGUUUAAAUUUGACUAAACUUAUGUAUAGUCAUGGACUAUAGUAUGUAAAGUUGAAAGUGGAUGAUUAGUUUGGUUAAAUUUACCUAUAAUCAAGACCAUUUCAAAA